UACGUAGGGUGCGAGCGUUAAUCGGAAUUACUGGGCGUAAAGGGUGCGCAGGCGGCUUCGCAAGUCAGGCGUGAAAUCCCCGAGCUUAACUUGGGAAUUGCGUUUGAAACUACGAGGCUGGAGUGUGGCAGAGGGAGGUGGAAUUCCACGUGUAGCGGUGAAAUGCGUAGAUAUGUGGAGGAACACCGAUGGCGAAGGCAGCCUCCUGGGCCAACACUGACGCUCAUGCACGAAAGCGUGGGGAUCAAACAGG
rnacentral:rRNA from 1 species